AGACCCGAAACCCGGUGAUCUAGCCAUGGGCAGGUUGAAGGUUGGGUAACACUAACUGGAGGACCGAACCGACUAAUGUUGAAAAAUUAGCGGAUGACCUGUGGCUGGGGGUGAAAGGCCAAUCAAACCGGGAGAUAGCUGGUUCUCCCCGAAAGCUAUUUAGGUAGCGCCUCGUGAAUUCAUCUCCGGGGGUAGAGCACUGUUUCGGCUAGGGGGCCAUCCCGGCUUACCAACCCGAUGCAAACUGCGAAUACCGGAGAAUGUUAUCACGGGAGACACACGGCGGGUGCUAACGUCCGUCGUGAAGAGGGAAACAACCCAGACCGCCAGCUAAGGUCCCAAAGUCAUGGUUAAGUGGGAAACGAUGUGGGAAGGCCCAGACAGCCAGGAUGUUGGCUUAGAAGCAGCCAUCAUUUAAAGAAAGCGUAAUAGCUCACUGGUCGAGUCGGCCUGCGCGGAAGAUGUAACGGGGCUAAACCAUGCACCGAAGCUGCGGCAGCGACACUGUGUGUUGUUGGGUAGGGGAGCGUUCUGUAAGCCUGUGAAGGUGUGUCGUGAGGCAUGCUGGAGGUAUCAGAAGUGCGAAUGCUGACAUAAGUAACGAUAAAGCGGGUGAAAAGCCCGCUCGCCGGAAGACCAAGGGUUCCUGUCCAACGUUAAUCGGGGCAGGGUGAGUCGACCCCUAAGGCGAGGCCGAAAGGCGUAGUCGAUGGGAAACGGGUUAAUAUUCCCGUACUUGGUGUUACUGCGAAGGGGGGACGGAGAAGGCUAUGUUGGCCGGGCGACGGUUGUCCCGGUUUAAGCGUGUAGGCUGGUUUUCCAGGCAAAUCCGGAAAAUCAAGGCUGAGGCGUGAUGACGAGGCACUACGGUGCUGAAGCAACAAAUGCCCUGCUUCCAGGAAAAGCCUCUAAGCAUCAGGUAACAUCAAAUCGUACCCCAAACCGACACAGGUGGUCAGGUAGAGAAUACCAAGGCGCUUGAGAGAACUCGGGUGAAGGAACUAGGCAAAAUGGUGCCGUAACUUCGGGAGAAGGCACGCUGACACGUAGGUGAAGUGAUUUACUCAUGGAGCUGAAGUCAGUCGAAGAUACCAGCUGGCUGCAACUGUUUAUUAAAAACACAGCACUGUGCAAACACGAAAGUGGACGUAUACGGUGUGACGCCUGCCCGGUGCCGGAAGGUUAAUUGAUGGGGUCAGCGCAAGCGAAGCUCCUGAUCGAAGCCCCGGUAAACGGCGGCCGUAACUAUAACGGUCCUAAGGUAGCGAAAUUCCUUGUCGGGUAAGUUCCGACCUGCACGAAUGGCGUAAUGAUGGCCAGGCUGUCUCCACCCGAGACUCAGUGAAAUUGAACUCGCUGUGAAGAUGCAGUGUACCCGCGGCAAGACGGAAAGACCCCGUGAACCUUUACUAUAGCUUGACACUGAACAUUGAGCCUUGAUGUGUAGGAUAGGUGGGAGGCUUUGAAGUGUGGACGCCAGUCUGCAUGGAGCCGACCUUGAAAUACCACCCUUUAAUGUUUGAUGUUCUAACGUGGACCCGUUACCCGGGUUGCGGACAGUGUCUGGUGGGUAGUUUGACUGGGGCGGUCUCCUCCUAAAGAGUAACGGAGGAGCACGAAGGUUGGCUAAUCCUGGUCGGACAUCAGGAGGUUAGUGCAAUGGCAUAAGCCAGCUUGACUGCGAGCGUGACGGCGCGAGCAGGUGCGAAAGCAGGUCAUAGUGAUCCGGUGGUUCUGAAUGGAAGGGCCAUCGCUCAACGGAUAAAAGGUACUCCGGGGAUAACAGGCUGAUACCGCCCAAGAGUUCAUAUCGACGGCGGUGUUUGGCACCUCGAUGUCGGCUCAUCACAUCCUGGGGCUGAAGUAGGUCCCAAGGGUAUGGCUGUUCGCCAUUUAAAGUGGUACGCGAGCUGGGUUUAGAACGUCGUGAGACAGUUCGGUCCCUAUCUGCCGUGGGCGCUGGAGAACUGAGGGGGGCUGCUCCUAGUACGAGAGGACCGGAGUGGACGCAUCACUGGUGUUCGGGUUGUCAUGCCAAUGGCACUGCCCGGUAGCUAAAUGCGGAAGAGAUAAGUGCUGAAAGCAUCUAAGCACGAAACUUGCCCCGAGAUGAGUUCUCCCUGAGACUUAAAGUCUCCUGAAGGAACGUUGAAGACGACGACGUUGAUAGGCCGGGUGUGUAAGCGCAGCGAUGCGUUGAGCUAACCGGUACUAAUGAACCGUGAGGCUUAACCUUACAACGCCGAAG
rnacentral:rRNA from 1 species